rnacentral:rRNA from 1 species
AUUGAACGCUGGCGGCAGGCCUAACACAUGCAAGUCGAGCGGAUGAAGGGAGCUUGCUCCUGGAUUCAGCGGCGGACGGGUGAGUAAUGCCUAGGAAUCUGCCUGGUAGUGGGGGAUAACGUCCGGAAACGGGCGCUAAUACCGCAUACGUCCUGAGGGAGAAAGUGGGGGAUCUUCGGACCUCACGCUAUCAGAUGAGCCUAGGUCGGAUUAGCUAGUUGGUGGGGUAAAGGCCUACCAAGGCGACGAUCCGUAACUGGUCUGAGAGGAUGAUCAGUCACACUGGAACUGAGACACGGUCCAGACUCCUACGGGAGGCAGCAGUGGGGAAUAUUGGACAAUGGGCGAAAGCCUGAUCCAGCCAUGCCGCGUAUGUGAAGAAGGUCUUCGGAUUGUAAAGCACUUUAAGUUGGGAGGAGGGGCAGUAAGUUAAUACCUUGCUGUUUUGACGUUACCAACAGAAUAAGCACCGGCUAACUUCGUG